AUUGAACGCUGGCGGCAUGCCUUACACAUGCAAGUUGAACGGCAGCGGGGGAGAGGCUUGCUUUUCCUGACGGCGAGUGGCGCACGGGUGCGUAAUACAUCGGAACGUGCCCUGUAGUGAGGGAUAACUAGUCGAAAGAUUAGCUAAUACCGCAUACGACCUGAGGGUGACAGUGGGGGACCGCAAGGCCUUCUGCUAUAGGAGCCGCCGAUGUCUGAUUAGCUAGUUGGUGGGGUAAAAGCCUACCAAGGCGACGAUCAGUAGCUGGUCUGGGAGGACGAUCAGCCACACUGGGACUGGAACACGGCCCAGACUCCUACGGGAGGCAGCAGUGGGGAAUUUUGGACAAUGGGCGAAAGCCUGAUCCAGCAAUGCCGCGUGUGUGAAGAAGGCCUUCGGGUUGUAAAGCACUUUUGUCCGGAAAGAAAUGGCUCUGGUUAAUACCUGGGGUCGAUGACGGUACCGGAAGAAUAAGGACCGGCUAACUACGUGCCAGCCGCCGCCGUAAGAC
rnacentral:rRNA from 1 species